rnacentral:rRNA from 1 species
AGUGAACGCUGGCGGUAGGCCUAACACAUGCAAGUCGAACGGCAGCACAGUAAGAGCUUGCUCUUACGGGUGGCGAGUGGCGGACGGGUGAGGAAUACAUCGGAAUCUACUUUUUCGUGGGGGAUAACGUAGGGAAACUUACACUAAUACCGCAUACGACCUACGGGUGAAAGCAGGGGAUCUUCGGACCUUGCGCGAUUGAAUGAGCCGAUGUCGGAUUAGCUAGUUGGCGGGGUAAAGGCCCACCAAGGCGACGAUCCGUAGCUUGUCUGAGAGGAUGUACACCCCCACUAGAACAUGGAAACGCUCCCCGCUCCCGCGGGAGGGCCCAGUGGGGAAUGUUGGGCAAAGGGGGGGAAGCUUGUACCAGCCAUCCCGGGUGGGGGAAGAAGGCCUUCGGGUUUUAAAGCCCUUUUGUUGGGAAAAAAAAGCAGCGGGUUAAAACCCCGCUUUUUUGCGGGAACCCAAAAAAAAAGCCCCGCUAACCUUCUG